rnacentral:rRNA from 1 species
AUUGAACGCUGGCGGCAGGCCUAACACAUGCAAGUCGAGCGGAUGAAGGGAGCUUGCUCCUGGAUUCAGCGGCGGACGGGUGAGUAAUGCCUAAGAAUCUGCCUGGUAGUGGGGGAUAACGUCCGGAAACGGGCGCUAAUACCGCAUACGUCCUGAGGGAGAAAGUGGGGGAUCUUCGGACCUCACGCUAUCAGAUGAGCCUAGGUCGGAUUAGCUAGUUGGUGGGGUAAAGGCCUACCAAGGCGACGAUCCGUAACUGGUCUGAGAGGAUGAUCAGUCACACUGGAACUGAGACACGGUCCAGACUCCUACGGGAGGCAGCAGUGGGGAAUAUUGGACAAUGGGCGAAAGCCUGAUCCAGCCAUGCCGCGUGUGUGAAGAAGGUCUUCGGAUUGUAAAGCACUUUAAGUUGGGAGGAAGGGCAGUAAGUUAAUACCUUGCUGUUCUGACGUUACCAACAGAAUAAGCACCGGCUAACUUCGUG